rnacentral:rRNA from 1 species
AGAGUUUGAUCCUGGCUCAGAACGAACGCUGGCGGCAUGGAUUAGGCAUGCAAGUCGAACGGGUUAUGCGCCGCAAGGUGUAUAACUAGUGGCGAAAGGGUGAGGAACACGUGAGUAACUUGCCCCCAAGUUGGGAACAACCCUCCGAAAGGAAGGCUAAUACCGAAUGUGGAUUCGUGGUCACAUGACUGUGUUUCUAAAGAUUUAUCGCUUGGGGAGGGGCUCGCGUCCCAUUACGCUUGUUGGUGAGGUAACGGCCCACCAAGGCUAUGACGGGUAGCUGGUCUGAGAGGAUGACCAGCCACACUGGGACUGAGACACUGCCCAGACUCCUACGGGAGGCUGCAGUCGAGAAUCUUCCGCAAUGGGCGAAAGCCUGACGGAGCAAUGCCGCGUGCAGGAUGAAGGCCCUCGGGUUGUAAACUGCUGUCAUCGGGGACGAAUAAAUGACGGUACCCGGAGAGGAAGCAACGGCUAACUACGUGCCAGCAGCCGCGGUAAUACGUAGGUUGCGAGCGUUGUUCGGAUUUAUUGGGCGUAAAGGGUUCGUAGGGGGUCGGCCAAGUCUGACGUGAAAUCCCGGAGCUUAACUCCGGAACUGCGUUGGAAACUAGUUGACUAGAGCGUCGGAGAGGGGAGUGGAAUUCCUGGUGUAGCGGUGGAAUGCGUAGAUAUCAGGAGGAACACCGAAAGCGAAGGCAGCUCCCUGGACGACUGCUGACCCUGAGGAACGUAAGCGUGGGGAGCAAACAGGAUUAGAUACCCUGGUAGUCCACGCCCUAAACGUUGCGCGUUUGAUGUGGGGGGGCUCAAUCCCUUCCGCACCGUAGCUAACGCGUUAAGCGCGCCGCCUGGGGACUACGGCCGCAAGGCUAAAACUCAAAGGAAUUGACGG